GGAGGUCCGAACCCACGAGCGUUGAAAAGCUCGGGGAUGACUUGUGGGUAGCGGUGAAAUUCCAAUCGAGCCCGGAGAUAGCUGGUUCUCCCCGAAAUAGCUUUAGGGCUAGCCUCAAGGUGAGAGAUACGGAGGUAGAGCACUGAAUGUCCUAGGGGGUAUUGCACCUACCGAAGACUAUCAAACUCCGAAUGCCGUCAUCUUAUACUUGGGAGUCAGACUGUGGGUGAUAAGAUUCAUAGUCGAAAGGGCAACAGCCCAGAUCGUCAGCUAAGGUCCCUAAAUGUAAGUUAAGUGGUAAAGGAUGUGGGAUUGCACAGACAACCAGGAUGUUGGCUUAGAAGCAGCCACUCAUUCAAAGAGUGCGUAAUAGCUCACUGGUCGAGUGAUCCUGCGCCGAAGAUUUCCGGGGCUAAAACUUACUACCGAAGCUACGGCAUCAGUAAUGAUGGGUAGUGUAGCUUCCCAUGCGUUUUGAACCACAACCGUAACUACAUCUGGACCGUAUGGUACUGUGAAUGCUGGCAUGAUUCGCGAGCUGUGGGUGAGAAUCCCACAGGCCGUAAACCCAAGUUUUCCAGGGGCAUGUUCGUCCGUCCUGUGUUAGUCGGGACCUAAGCUGAGGCCGAAAGGCGUAGGUGAUGGACAACAGGUUGAUAUUCCUGUACUACCGAUAACCGUUUGAGAGAAGGGAUGACACAGUAGGAUAAGCUAAGCACACUGUUGGUUAUGUGUGCUCAAGCAUUGAGGCAGUCAUAGUAGGCAAAUCCGCUUUGAUAAUGCUGGGAUGUGAUGGGGAGCGAAAUUUAGUAGCGAAGUAGCUGAUUUCACACUGUCAAGAAAAGUCUCUAUCGAGGGUAAAGGUACCCGUACCGCAAACCGACACAGGUGGGUGAGGAGAGUAUCCUAAGGCCAGCGAGAGAACUGUUGUUAAGGAACUCGGCAAAAUGACCCCGUAACUUAGGGAUAAGGGGUGCCACCAUUAGGUGGCCGCAGAGAAUAGGCCCAAGCGACUGUUUACCAAAAACAUAGGUUUCUGCUAAGUCGCAAGACGAUGUAUAGGAGCUGACGCCUGCCCGGUGCUGGAAGGUUAAGGGGAUCUGUUAGAGUAAUCGAAGCAGUGAACUUAAGCCCCAGUAAACGGCGGCCGUAACUAUAACGGUCCUAAGGUAGCGAAAUUCCUUGUCGGGUAAGUUCCGACCCGCACGAAAGGCGUAACGAUUUGGGCAC
rnacentral:rRNA from 1 species